rnacentral:misc_RNA from 1 species
UCGCAGCUUGCGCCGGCAGUCUCGACAGAGUCCUCAGCCUGACCUGUUAGCAACUGUCGAUGGGGGUUGCGCUCGUUAUGGCACUUAAGCCGACACCUCACGGCACGAGCUGACGACAACCAUGCAGCACCUCGACACAGGCUCCGUAGAGCCGAACCCUUUCAGGUACGUUCCUGUGUCGUUUGAGCCCGGGUAAGGUUCCUCGCGUAUCAUCGAAUUAAACCACAUGUUCCUCCGCUUGUGCGGGCCCCCGUCAAUUCCUUUGAGUUUCACCGUUGCCGGCGUACUCCCCAGGUGGAAUACUUAACGCUUUCGCUGUGCCACCCAGGGCUCAUUCGCCCCGGACAGCUAGUAUUCAUCGUUUACUGCGUGGACUAC